GCAAAAACAAAGUGAUCCGAGGUGGCGU
rnacentral:sRNA from 1 species